GGGGGUGACAGGUUUCGACAGGGUAAGGAAGAUGGAUAGUGCAGGUUGUGACAGCUAACUCAAUCACAUAAAACUUUAGUUAGAAACAUAUAACUGCAAACGACGCAGAUUACGGUUUAGCACUAGCUGCUUAAUCCCCGGUUGUUCUUCNCCGGGUGUCCAAGAAGAACAAACANNAAAANAACGCUUUUNCNUUUUUGAGCGGAUNGAAUCNAAUUUGAUACUUUGUUUGUUUAGAGAAACAAACUAUACCUGUGAAUGACUUGAAGUUGGAUAUACUUUGGACGUGGGUUCGAUUCCCACCACCUCCACCA
rnacentral:tmRNA from 1 species